rnacentral:ncRNA from 2 species
AUGAAGGUCGCAAGAGAUACCCUUUUCCCCUUCAAGGGGUUGGGGAGCCGAAGGGGCAAGUGCGGAGCUGUUGCAUGAAACUCUCAGGCGAAAGGAUUGCGGCUGGACA